CCACAUCAAGGGUAAACCUGUCACCAAAUAGUCCCAGUAUCUCAUACCAGGGCGUAGUCAAAGGCACCUGGAUUUCGUCUCUAACCUUCGGCGGCACCUUCGGCCGCCGAACAUGCAUGAGUUUAGGGGACACGUUAGGCUGCCGAAGGUUGUUGACCAGGCCACCUAUAAAGAGCCCUCAGAUCGAAAAUGGGCGAGUUUUCUCCCCAUUCUCGAGCUCAGGUGAGUUUAUGCCCUCCUUUGGUCGUUUUCAUGUUUUCUCUACCCAUCCCUCAAGUUUUUCAUGAGUUCUACCCUUGUUUUGAAGUUUUGAAGCUUAAAUAGGAGUUUUGGGAGCUUGGAGGCUUUUGGAGCUUGGACCCUCCACACCUCCGAGUUAGGGAUCGCGCCACCCCUCGAUCUUCAAGAGGUAAGUGUAGAUACUUGCUUUCCUUGUGUUUUAAUGAAGUUUUAAGUAAGUUUAAAGAUGUUUUGAUGGUUGAGUAUGGGUAGAUAUGCUUGUUAGGGUUUAUGUGGAUUUUAUGCCCAAUGUAUGUUAUGUGAUGUGGUGUUGAGGAGUUUAUGUUAGUUUAUGCUCCUUUAUGCAUGUGGGAGAGUGUAUGCAUGAUUGGGAGAGAGCAAGCGAGGUUUUGAGUAGUUUUGAUGGUUUUGGCUUAUGUGGGUCAUAAGCUAUUUAUGUAGGCUUUAUGAUGUUCUUUGUUGGAGUUUAAGCUUGUUUAAGCUCCUUUGUGCAUGGUUAAGGGUUUAUGCAUGUUUUUAAGAGGUUGGUUGCUUGUUUGGGGUGUUUGGUAAGGUUUUGGAGGCUGGUAUGCACGAGAGGCUGAGUUCUUAUGAACUCAGAUUCGGCCGCCGAAGGUAGUUUCGGCCGCCGAACCUGCCUAUAGAUGCAUGGAUUGGCCGCCAAACCUUGCCCCCGAAAGUUGUGUUUCGGAUCUGGAGCAGACUUUCGGCCGCCGAAGGUGAUGUUGGGCCGCCGAAAGUGCCUGACUUUCGGAUCUGGAGAGAGCCUUCGGCCGCCAAACCUACUGCCGAACCUGCAUGGCUUUCGGCUCUGGAAGGGACCUUCGGCCGCCGAAAGUGCCAUGUCCAGCCCUUUCAUGGUUGUUUUCUAUGCAUGUUUUGAAGAUGUUUUAGGGGCUUUUUGGGGAGUUGUUUAUGAGUUGUUUAGAGUGUGUUUGGCACCUCACUGGAGUCCACCUGUGUAGGAUCGGACCCGAGGAACCGAGGUGUUUGGCAGUGUUAGCUGCUUCAGAGUCAGUCCAGAGCUAGUCAAAGGUGAGUAGAACAUAACUCUUUUAAUAUUAAAGAAAUUAAAUGUUUUAAGCAUAUUCAUGCAUCACGAAUACCAUGUUAUGUAAUAGGUUGUUGUAUUAGAGUUCACGAAUAUGUUGCAUUGCAUAAUAUGAUGAUGAUGAUGUAGAUGGAUAUUGGAUGAUCCAUUAGCCCUCGGUAUGACAUGAUAUGAUAUGAUAUGACAUGUAUGACAUGAUAUGAGAUGGAAAGACCAGGCGUGGCCGUAUCGCCCCUGGCAUAGAGUAAGAGAAGUCCAGGUGUGGCCGUAUCUCCCCUAGCAUAGAGUAUGUGAAGUCCAGGCGUGGCCGUAUCACCCCUGGCAUAGAGCAUUGCUGAACUUGUUAUGAUAUGACAUUUAUAUGUUGAGGGCUAUUAGUGACAAAUUCAUCCUUGAUGUGUAUUGUUUGUGAUGUGAUGCAUGUCAUGAAAGCAUAUGAUAUAAUAAACUGUUUUUCUAUUUAGUUCUGCUCACUGGGCUUUAUAGCUCACCCCUCUUCCCUAACCCCAGGUUUGCAGGGUCAGAGAUAGUUCAGGAGGUCAGCAGGUUAUGGUCAUGUUUAUGUAAUAGGAUAGUCGUGGACAUGAUAUAUUUGUAAAGUUAUGAAAUAAUGUAAACGUAUGUAUUGAAAUGUAAGGCUAUGUAAUGACAUGUCAUGGUUAGAGUUGUGCUUUGCCCUAGUCAUGUAUGGUUAAUCCCUUUUGGCACAUGAUCCUUCUCAAAUGUUUUAAUGAUGUUUUAUUGCAAACCAAGCUUAAUGUAUGAUAUGUUACCCCACUGGAGCAUUUGAUGAGGGCUCCAGUGUGGGGUUUUAUGUUUAUGGAUUUUUGUGCAUGCACAGGUUAAGCUUGGUAAAGGAAAGAAAAAGUUUAAAGUUUCAUGUUUAUGUUUGAUCAUGUAUGGGAUUUAACAGGUAUACAGGAUGUAUGUUAGGCUUGCUACGGGUCCCGGCGACCUUAAGUCGAUCUGGAUCCUAGCGCCGGUAGCGGUCCAAUUUUCGGGUCGUUACAGAUAUGACAUGUGUAAGAGAAAGACCAGGUGUGGCCUACAUACGCCCCUGGCAUGAUUGGAUUAUGUAGAGGACUAUUGGCGACAGGUCCAUCCUUAAUGUGAUUUGUUUGUGAUGUGAUGCAUUACAUGAAAGCAUAAAUUUUAAUAUAAUGUUUUAUUAUUCUGCACAUUGGUCUCUAGUAGCUCACCCCAUUCCCUUAAUCCCCCAGGUUGCAAGUGUGGGAUAGAAUCAGGAGGUCAGCAAGAAUAAGAAGUCAUGUUUUAUGUAAUAGCUAGAUGUGGACAUGAAAAUGAUGUAAUGUAAAGUAUCGUAUAGUAAUGUAAUGUAAUGAUGUUUAUUGAGGUUUAGAGUUGUGCCUGAUCCUAGUAUGUUGUUAAUCUCUUUUGAAUACAUGAUUUAAUGAUGUUUAUGUAAACCAAGCUUAAUGUAUGAUAUAUUACCCCAUUGGAACAUUUGAUGAGGGCUCCAGUGAGGGGUUUAAUGUUUAUGAUUAUGUGUUGUGCAUGCACAGGUUAAGCUUGGUGAAUGAAAGAAAAAAAAAGUUUAAAGUUUAUAUGUAUAUGUUUGAUCAUGUAUGGGAUUUAACAGGUAUAUAGGAUGUGUGUUAGGUUUGCUACGGGUCCCGGCGGCCUUAAGCUAAUCUGAAUUCUAGCGCCGGUAGCGGUCCGAUUUUCGGGUCGUUACAAUAUUCUUGAUGUUUAUUUACACCAUUUAUGCCUAAUUUUGUGGUUUUAAUCAUGCUUUGUAGAUAUUAGGUGUAAAGAGACAUUCUAGAGAAAAUGCUCUUAAAACUGCUAAAAAGUGCCAAAUAUGAAAAGUGCCAAAAAAGAAAAGUUUUCAAAUGUAACGACCCCAAAAUGGACCGUCACCGGCGCUAGGAUUCAGGUCGGCUUAAGGCCGCCAAAACCCGUAGCAAGCCUGCUAUACUCUCUGUGUACCUGUAAACCUCAUACAUGAUCAUACAGUUUAUGUGAAAAUAAAACUCUUUUCUGAACCAAGGCUUAACCUGUGCAUGCACUAUCUCUGUACUCUGUACUCAUGUACUCUUUACUCUGUAUCCCUGACUAGAGCUUGCUCUAGAUGGGUUAACUCAUACCUGUUAAGCCUGGUUUUCACAUACAGGAAAACAUAUAUACAUAUACAGAUCAUGUACAAAACAUACAUCACUAGGUCUAGGUCAAGCAACAACUAUUACAUCUCUUUAAUAUUACAUGUCCACUCUAAGCUAUUACAGAUCUCUUUACUCUUCCUGUACUCUGCUGGACUGUCCCUGUACACUGUACACUGAACCUGCAAAACUGGGGUUAAGGGAGUGGGAUGAGCUCUAUAGCCCAGUGAGUAGAACAGUAAAACAUCUCAGUAAAAUAUGAUCUCAUGGAAUGCACCAUAUCACAGACAAGCCACAUCAAGAGUAAACCUGUCACCACAUAGUCCCAGUAACUCUGUGCCAGGGCGUAGUCAAAGGCUCCUGGACUUCCUGUCAUAUAUGUAUAUGUGUAUAUAACACCAUUGUACUUACCAUUGCCAGGGCGUAGUCAAAGGCUCCUGGACUUUACUAUAUACCUGCCAGGGCGUAGUCAAAGGCUCCUGGACUUUGCUAUACUUGCCAGGGCGUAGUCAAAGGCUCCUGGACUUCCUGUCUGAGACUAUUGGAUCAUUCAGCAUUCACUCGCAUCACCAAAUAAUAAUGCAAUGCAACAUAUUCGUGAAUACUAAUGCAAUCAACCUAUGGCAUAAACAUGAUGCAUGAGAUAUGCUAAAAGCAGUUUGUGGUUCAAUUAAAAAUCAUCAGUCUUAAGUUUAGUUCCACUCACCUCUGGCUGUCUGGACUGACUGACUCUGCAGGUUCUGAACCUCUGGAGCAGUACUCACUGCUGCUCUCUCUGGUUCCUCUGGUCUGUAUAAGCACAUAAAGACUCAAAUGAGGGACCAAACAAGCUUAUGACCAACUCUAUUAAACUCCCCAAGAAUCCCCUUACACUCACUCAACUAUCCAUGUAACACAUGUAAAAGAAAGCUGGAC
rnacentral:lncRNA from 1 species